GAUGAACGCUGACAGAAUGCUUAACACAUCAGCAAUGGAUUGGCGGCGGACGGGUGAGUAACGCGUAAAGAACAUGCCUCAAGGUUAGGGACAUCAAUUGGAAACAAUUGCUACUACUUAAUACCUUGAGAGAGCUUUGCGACCCAUUAGCUAGUUGGAGAGGUAACGGCUCACCAAGGAGAUGAUGGGUAGCCGGCCUGAGAGGGUGAACGACCACAAGGGGACUGAUACACUGCCCUUACUCCUACUGGCGGCAGCGGUGGGGAAUAUUGGACAAUGGACCAAAGUCUGAUCCAGCAAUUCUGUUUGCACGAUGAAGUUUUCGGAAUGUAAAGUGCUAUCAGUUGGAAAGCGGUACCAACAGAAGAAGUGACGGCUAAAUACGUGCCAGCCGCCGCGGUAAUAC
rnacentral:rRNA from 1 species